rnacentral:rRNA from 1 species
GACGAACGCUGGCGGCGUGCUUAACACAUGCGAGUCGAACGGGAUUUAGUAGACAGAAGCUUCGGUGGAAGAUUACUAAUGAGAGUGGCGAACGGGUGAGUAACGCGUGAGCAACCUGCCUAUGACAGUGGGAUAGCCUCGGGAAACCGGGAUUAAUACCGCAUAAAAUCGUAGAAACACAUGUUUCAACGGUCAAAGAUUUAUCGGUCGUAGAUGGGCUCGCGUCUGAUUAGCUAGUUGGUGAGAUAACAGCCCACCAAGGCGACGAUCAGUAGCCGGUCUGAGAGGAUGAACGGCCACAUUGGAACUGAGACACGGUCCAAACUCCUACGGGAGGCAGCAGUGGGGAAUAUUGCACAAUGGGGGAAACCCUGAUGCAGCGACGCCGCGUGAACGAAGAAGGUAUUCGUAUCGUAAAGUUCUGUCCUAUGGGAAGAUAAUGACAGUACCAUAGAAGAAAGCUCCGGCUAAAUACGUG